UGGGGAAUUUUGGACAAUGGGGGCAACCCUGAUCCAGCAAUGCCGCGUGUGUGAAGAAGGCCUUCGGGUUGUAAAGCACUUUUGUCCGGAAAGAAAACGUCGUGGUUAAUACCCGUGGCGGCUGACGGUACCGGAAGAAUAAGCACCGGCUAACUACGUGCCAGCAGCCGCGGUAAUACGUAGGGUGCAAGCGUUAAUCGGAAUUACUGGGCGUAAAGCGUGCGCAGGCGGUCCGCUAAGACAGAUGUGAAAUCCCCGGGCUUAACCUGGGAACUGCAUUUGUGACUGGCGGGCUAGAGUAUGGCAGAGGGGGGUAGAAUUCCACGUGUAGCAGUGAAAUGCGUAGAGAUGUGGAGGAAUACCGAUGGCGAAGGCAGCCCCCUGGGCCAAUACUGAGCUCAUGCACGAAAAGCGUGGGGAGCAAAACAGGAUUCAGAUACCCUGGUAGUCCACGCCCUAAACGAUGUCAACUAGUUGUCGGGUCUUCAUUGACUUGGUAACGUAGCUAA
rnacentral:rRNA from 1 species